rnacentral:sRNA from 1 species
CGGCUCUGCACCCUGCACUGUCCCACGGCCUACGCCUGGGCAUGCUGGUCACUGUGCACACGACAGCCGGGCGUGGAUCCCAGCAAGACCAGGAGCUAUGGGGCCACCCGGAAGGGCCUGCACUGUAGGGCCUGAGCCCUGGGCUCUGCCCACCUUGACCUCCCACGGCCCUCACCCCAUCAUAGUCCAGACAAUGAGGGCGGGCCCUGCUGCGGCUGAGGGGUGGGUGGCACCCUGCGUUUGUGCGUCUGCUGAGUUCUGUGCCCCCAGCAUGCACCCGGAGUCCCCCGGAUCUUGGUUGGAAACCGGCUGCACCUGGCCUUCAAGCGGCAGGUCCCGACGGAGCAGGCCCGCGCGUAUGCAGAGAAGAACUGCAUGACCUUCUUUGAGGUCAGCCCCCUGUGCAACUUCAACGUCAUCGAGUCCUUCACGGAGCUAUCCCGCAUCGUGCUCAUGCGGCACGGCAUGGAGAAGAUCUGGAGGCCCAACCGAGUGUUCAGCCUGCAGGACCUCUGCUGCCGGGCCAUCGUCUCCUGCACCCCCGUGCACCUCAUCGACAAGCUUCCACUGCCCGUCACCAUCAAGAGCCACCUCAAGUCCUUCUCGAUGGCCAACGGCAUGAACGCGGUCAUGAUGCACGGCCGUUCCUACUCCCUGGCCAGUGGGGCCGGGGGCGGCGGCAGCAAGGGCAACAGCCUCAAGAGGUCCAAGUCCAUCCGUCCACCCCAGAGCCCCCCCCAGAACUGCUCGCGGAGUAACUGCAAGAUCUCCUAGCGGGGACGGGCGGGGCCGCCUGUGCAGAUGCCAGGAGGGCUCGAGCUGGACACUCCUGGCUGGACGCCAGGCCAGUGCCGCCUACGUGGAGACUGUCCACACAGCUGCCUCAGAAGCGCCGGGCUUUCCUCACACCUGAGCCGGGUGCGAGGAGGAGCAUGCACGGACCACGCGCGGCAGGCGGGAGGAGAGGGCGCGGCUGGGCUGCUGGUGCUUCCGGGAAUCUUGGUCUGAAACAAGCUGGGCCUCCCCAGCUGCCUGGGCUCGACCGGCCGGGAGCCUGGUUGGCCUUUCUUAUUUAUAUAGAGAACACUUCACUUUUUUGUACAUUUUUAAGGGGCCUUCAGGAAAGCCUGGGUGUGGCCCGGUGGUGGUGCACUGGUGACUUCAUGGCCACGCCAGCUGUGGGGACGCACUUGGGACUCCUCGAGAGGGGACUCGCGGCCGCGAUGGCAAGGCAGCCUGUGAAUUCAUGCGCUGCGAGUGGCGGGGCUGCCCAGAGGCCGGGGGAGCAGACAGGGCCAGUGUUCCCUCUGGAAGCUUGGGUGACCGGGGCCCUGGCUCCCACGGGAUGGAGGGUGUGGUCCUGUGGUCAGAGCCCAAGCAGCACUCAGGAGAGGGGAGAAAGGAGGUGCACCUGGGAGCCCACAUUUUUGUUGCUCCCCAAAUCCCUCCCCACGUGGGGAUGAGAACCUUCCUGCUGUGAUGUGACACCUUCGGGGACACUGACCACUCAAAACUCAGAUCAUCUCGCCCACCCUGGAGAGUGCAGAGCUAUCUGUAGACUUAGGAAUACUCGAUGGGCAGUGGUGCAGACCCCAGGCACCUGCGUGCAGCCUCCUGUUCUCGGCAGCUUCUGUCGCUGGCCCUGGGGUCCCCACAGCUGCAGCUCUCCUGUGAGGUUGCACGGCAUCAGAACCAUCCUGACCUUCUUAGGGACGUGCCUGGAAUCACCUCGUCCACGUCCAUGUCCACCUGGGGGCCUCGGGAGGCUAGGCCCCUCCUCAAAGGCCCACCAGCCCGGCGCUCAUGCUGAGCCCCAGGCACGCAGGGCCGGCCACUUCUCUCCUGAAGCCAUUGGCCGCUCCUCCACCCAGUGCUUCUGCCCAUGCCUGCCCCAGCAGCCCCUCUGCACGGUCGCCGUCGCCUGGGCCUGCCCACAGCACUGGUGCUCACCUCUACCUCCUGUCCUCAGGCCGUGUGGCACGACAUGGCCAGCACGCAGAAGGAGCCCUCCCGGGACCCAGGACCCCCCGUGGUGGACUCCGCGGCACAUGCUUCCCAAGGUGGUCCCACGGAGGGUGUUACUGGGCACCAGUGGACUCGCCCCAUGGCCCGUUCCUGGGAGAUGAGGGCCGUGGCCUGCGUGAACUACCAGAUGAGUAAGGGAACCCCAGGCAUGCGGCCCUGCCACAGCCCCCAAAGACACCGGCCUCCUGCUCCAGCUUCCCUGUCCUGGCCCCACCUGUCCUGUUGCUGCCAGCAGGGCCCUUGUUUGGGAUUAUGAACAAACCUCACAGACUUUGAGGACCUGGAUGGUCCUGCAUUCAUGGCAUCAACACUACCCGCACUGCUGUUAGACACUCCGCCAUUCCUGGUUCUCUCCGAACCGUUCUUUGUACAGUAAAUGUAAUUCAGCUGUGGUCCCCA